GUCUUUUUGCCUAAAAUAAAAAGUCUAACCUGCUCAAUGUAAUAAUAAAUGGCCGCGGUAUUUUGACCGUGCUAAGGUAGCAUAAUGAAUUGUCUAUUAAUUGUGGUCUGGAAUGAAAGGUUCUACGAAGAAUAGCUUUUUUAACUUUAUAGUUGAAUUUUAAUUGUUUGUGAAAAUGCUAACAUGAAUAAGAGGGACGAGAAGACCCUAUAGAGCUUUAUAUGAAUAUUUGUUUUUGUAGUAUACAUAAAAUUAUCGUAUUUUGUUGGGGCGACAUUAAAUAUUAAACAUUUAAAAUUAUGUCUUUAAUGAUAGGAGGUAUGAUCCAUCAAUGAUGAUUAUAGGCUAAGUUACCUUAGGGAUAACAGCGUAAUUUCAUUAUAGAGUUCUUAUCGACAAUGAAGAUUGCGAC
rnacentral:rRNA from 1 species